rnacentral:rRNA from 1 species
UGGGGAAUAUUGCACAAUGGGGGAAACCCUGAUGCAGCGACGCCGCGUGAACGAAGAAGGUAUUCGUAUCGUAAAGUUCUGUCCUAUGGGAAGAUAAUGACAGUACCAUAGAAGAAAGCUCCGGCUAAAUACGUGCCAGCAGCCGCGGUAAUACGUAUGGAGCGAGCGUUGUCCGGAAUUAUUGGGCGUAAAGGGUACGCAGGCGGUUUAAUAAGUCGAAUGUUAAAGAUCGGGGCUCAACCCCGUAAAGCAUUGGAAACUGAUAAACUUGAGUAGUGAAGAAGAAAGUGGAAGUCCUAGUGUAGUGGUGAAAUACGUAGAUAUUAGGAGGAAUACAAGUAGCGAAGGCGGCUUUCUGGACACGAACUGACGCUGAGGUACGAAAGCGUGGGGAGCAAACAGG